UGUGGAUAGGGGGGUGAACUGGGUAUGGGGUUUGGGAGGUUCCGGUUCGGUCCAGAUCAGCCGGUUCAGAGUUUUCUUUCUGGAAUUUGAUCUCUGUGCUGUUGAUCUGAUUUUGAUCUUAUCCUAUUAACUUGGGACCAUGAACUUGUCAUUCCUCAGGAAUAGCUAUUUUGGUUGCUCUAAUGUUUAGAUCAGAAGUUUUACAUAUUUUGCUUCCUUGCAUUCCUCAUGAAUAGAAGUCAUAUUGUGCACACUAGUAAUUUUUUUUGCUUAUUGCUUUUUUACUUUGCUUCUUCCCAGGGAAGGGGUGGUUGCUGUCAUGAGAAGAUUUCCCAGAUUCCGCCGUCUGCGAAGACCGUGCUUUUGAAGCUCAGGUCUCCAUAGAAUUAUCAGCACGUGAGAAGUCAUAUUGUGGAACUUCUUGCUCGUAUUCAAUAUUUAGUUGUCUACAGCUAUGCAAGUGUGGAUAAGUAGAAAAUCCUGUGAUGAAUGGUGUACUCAUUUGUACGCCUGUUUGGCUCCAUCGGCUAAAAUGUAACCAAAACUAAAUUUAGUCA